GCAGUGAGGAAUAUUGGACAAUGGGCGCAAGCCUGAUCCAGCCAUGCCGCGUGCAGGAUGACGGUCCUAUGGAUUGUAAACUGCUUUUGUACGAGAAGAAACACUGAUUCGUGAAUCAGCUUGACGGUAUCGUAAGAAUAAGGAUCGGCUAACUCCGUGCCAGCAGCCGCGGUAAUACGGAGGAUCCAAGCGUUAUCCGGAAUCAUUGGGUUUAAAGGGUCCGUAGGCGGUUUAGUAAGUCAGUGGUGAAAGCCCAUCGCUCAACGGUGGAACGGCCAUUGAUACUGCUGAACUUGAAUUAUUAGGAAGUAACUAGAAUAUGUAGUGUAGCGGUGAAAUGCUUAGAGAUUACAUGGAAUACCAAUUGCGAAGGCAGGUUACUACUAAUUGAUUGACGCUGAUGGACGAAAGCGUGGGUAGCGAACAGGAUUAGA
rnacentral:rRNA from 1 species